rnacentral:rRNA from 1 species
GCCAGCCCGCUCAAGAAACUUAAAGGAAUUGACGGGGCCCGCACAAGCGGAGGAGCAUGUGGUUUAAUUCGAUGAUACGCGAGGAACCUUACCUGGGCUCGAACGUAAGAUGACUGUAGGUGAAAAGCUUACAUCUCUUCGGAGCAUUUUACGAGGUGCUGCAUGGUUGUCGUCAGCUCGUGCCGUGAGGUGUCGGGUUAAGUCCCAUAACGAGCGCAACCCUACCCUUAGUUGCCAUCAGGUAAUGCUGGGGACUCUAAAGGAACUGCCUACGCAAGUAGUGAGGAAGGCGGGGAUGACGUCAAAUCAGCACGGCCCUUACGUCCAGGGCUACACACGUGCUACAAUGGCCGAUACAGAGGGCAGCUACCUGGUGACAGGAUGCAAAUCUCCAAAGUCGGUCUCAGUUCGGAUCGGAGUCUGCAACCCGACUCCGUGAAGUUGGAUUCGCUAGUAAUCGCGCAUCAGCCAUGGCGCGGUGAAUACGUUCCCGGGCCUU